rnacentral:tRNA from 1 species
ACCUCCUUUCUAAGGAUGGACCGGAUAGCCGAUCAGCAUUGCUGGUCAUUGUGCUUCGGGUCUUUCUACAGAACAUGCCGUCGUCCUCAUGUCCCUUCAUCACUGGAGAUUAUCACGCUUGAAAGAGCGUGGUAUCUGCCUGAGCCGGCUUUUGCCCCUCGCGGCGUUUGUGCCGCCAGGCGUGCAUGGGCCGGUAGCUCAGGUGGUUAGAGCGCACGCCUGAUAAGCGUGAGGUCGCAAGUUCAACUCUUGCUCGGCCCACCAUCUCUCUUGCCUUGAGUACCUUGAAAGGGGCCUUAGCUCAGCUGGGAGAGCACCUGCUUUGCAAGCAGGGGGUCAUCGGUUCGAUCCCGAUAGGCUCCACCAGUUUUGCCGGUGCGCGCAGCGCGCAAAAUCGUCCGUGGGACGAUUUUGAGGCAGAACUCCCGGGCGAUAGCUGUGGGGUGACGCCGAGAGGCGAAACUUCCGAGCGAUAGCUGUGGGUGAGGGUGGAACAAGCGCAGGAACAGUGUUGAGCGCGUUGAGCGUUCCGCUGAUGCAGACAUCUCCAGAUGAUGAAGACACCGGAUCCGGCCUGUAAGAGGGUCGGUAUUGCGCGGGAGUGAUCUCGUGCUGCUUCUUUGACAUUGUGAAUGGGUUUUUAAUCGAUGCCGUGGCGCAUUGGUUCACACGACUACGGUCGGUGGGUCGAUUGCGUCAUUAACAGAUGAUUGUAUCUGGCUGAGAUUAUCGUCUGCACCUGUGACAACACGGAUUUUAUGCAGAUCUGAUGUUGAUGGUGUGGAUUCUCAAGCGUGAGGUAAGAGCAUUU